GUCUACGGCCAUACCACCCUAAACAUGCCCGAUCUCGUCUGAUCUCGGAAGCUAAGCAGGGUCGGGCCUGGUUAGUACUUGGAUGGGAGGAAGUGAACCAUCUAAA
rnacentral:rRNA from 1 species